rnacentral:rRNA from 1 species
AUUGAACGCUGGCGGCAGGCCUAACACAUGCAAGUCGAGCGAGCGGCGGACGGGUGAGUAAUGUAUGGGGAACUGCCCGAUAGAGGGGGAUAACUACUGGAAACGGUGGCUAAUACCGCAUACUAUCGGAUGAACCCAUAUGGGAUUAGCUAGUAGGUGGGGUAAAGGCUCACCUAGGCGACGAUGUCUAGCUGGUCUGAGAGGCUGAUCAGCCACACUGGGACUGAGACACGGCCCAGACUCCUACGGGAGGCAGCAGUGGGGAAUAUUGCACAAUGGGCGCAAGCCUGAUGGAGCCAUGCCGCGUGUAUGAAGAAGGCCUUCGGAGUGUAAAGUACUUUCGGCGGGGAAGCGUUACCCGCAGAGGAAGCACCGGCUAACUACGUGCCAGCAGCCGCGGUAAUUC